CUGGAACAUUCCCUUACUAAGAGAUAGAGUCCACACAGCUUGUGCCCAGCUUAUCACCUUGUGUGGGAAUAUUUUUCCUUGUUUCAGACUCAAUGAGUACUCUUUUGUCUCUGAUGAAAGUGUGUGCGUCAUAUGGCACCUAGCCAAUCCCACUGUUAUAUCUGCCCUCUGAGAGGAAGGGACAGGGUUCCCUCCACUCUGGCAUCGGAAGUCUGUGCGUAGGCGAAAUGCCCUGCAUCUGGCCACGAGGAGAAACCUACUGACCAUAGGGGACUGACGCCCACCAUCGAAGCUGACUUUGCUGUCUCCUUCUCUGUAUUUCUGCCUUAUAGAUUUCUGCUGGGCUCCAGUUAGCAGACGAGAGGUAUCGAAGCACCAACAAGGAAUCAAGGGUGACCUCUUCACUAGCCGAACUGCUUGCACUCCCACCUGCUAUCACCAUGCCUAGAGGUCAGAAGAGUAAGCUCCGUGCCCGUGAGAGACGCCGCCAGGCCCGUGGUGAGACCCAGGGUCUGGAGGGCCCUGAGGCUACUGCAGAAGCACCAGCAGGCGCAGCAGCCAUAGCGGCAGGAGAGUCCCCCUCCCCUGCCUGCCCUCUCUCUGGGGAUAGAGCUCAGAAUUUGUCUGCCGCUGCGACAUCCAGCAGUCCUCAGGCAGCCAAGGGGAGCUCCUCUCCCACCAGUGCUGGUGCAGCUGUUUCCUGCACCAAUUCAGAUGAAGGUGCCAAAAGCCAAGAUGAGGGAAGCCAACAAUCCUCUAAGGGCACUGAGUUCUCACGCAGAGAUCCAUUAAACAAGAAGGUAGUGUUGUUGGUACAGUUCCUGCUGCAGAAGUAUCAAAAGAAAGAGCCAGUUACGAGGGCAGACAUGCUAAAGUAUGUCAUCAAAAAGUACAAGUAUCAUUUCAGUGAGAUCCUCAAGAGAGCCUCUGAGCACAUGGAGCUGGCCUUUGGUAUUGACGUGAAGGAAGUGGAUCCCAUCCGGCACUGCUAUGCCCUCCUCAGCAAACUAGACCUCAGCGUCGAUGGCACGAUGCAUGAAGAAGAGAACACGCCCAAGACCGGCAUCCUGAUGAUCGUGCUGGGGGUAAUCUUCAUGAAAGGCAACUGCGCCCGGGAGGAGGAGGUCUGGGAAGUCCUGAAUCUGAUGGGCGUAUAUUCGGAUAAGAAGCACUUCAUCUAUGGGGAGCCGAAGAAGAUCAUCACUGAAGAUUUGGUGCAGCUCAAGUACCUGGAGUACCGGCAGGUGCCCAACAGCGACCCUCCGCGCUAUGAGUUCCUGUGGGGCCCCAGAGCCCACGCCGAGACCAGCAAGAUGAGAAUCCUGGAGUUUCUAGCCAAAGUUCACGAUACCGUCCCCAGUGCUUUCCCAGCCUGGUAUGAAGAGGCUUUGAGAGAUGAGGAGGAGCGAGCCCGAGCCCGAGCCGCAGCCAGGGCUCGUAUCACUGCCAUGGCCAGUGCACGUGCCAGGGCCAUGGCCUCCAGCUCAUCCCACUCAAAGUGAAGUCUCAGGCUGGUCCAAAAGGUUGUAUUUCAUAUGUUGAAGUUUGAAGCAGUUCGUUUUCUUUGCGGAAGAAAGUAGUCAACGUUCUAAAUAGUGGAUGGCAGUGGCCAGGGGUGCACCCAGCUUCCUGUGAUACAGACAGUCCCGAGUCACCUGCCCUCCACCUUAGAGCCUUCCACCUCUCUGCAGGUGUACCUGGGAGGUCCUGUCCCUCAGUGGAACCAUAGACCAUGAAGUUUAUAUACCUGAUUACUACAGCACCGCCACCCAUCCCUACAACAGUAUCAAAGUAUGUUCCAAAUGAGCUGGUCACUAGAGUCCUAUUUUGUAAGAAAAUACAAAGAAAAUACGGGUUCUUGGGAUUUAAAUGAAGUUAGAUGGGGGGGGGGGAGGUCGGUAUAAAGGACACAGAUAUUGUCAGUAGGAUUUUGCAGGAGUGUGUUAUUUUGCUGGCCACUGAACACAUAAACCAAUGACUGAGCUUACUUAGAUGGUCAGUAAUCAAAGCUUCCCUUGUAAUUUUUUAAGCAUGGAAAUCACUCUGCAGCAAACAUCUACUGACGCUGAAUUCCUCAGAACCUAGAGUUCUUCUAGCAGGAGAAAAAAUGGUUUCUUGACAGACACACUAACUUUCAACAGCAAAGGCUAAAAUAAUUGGCCCUCUUUCUGCUGCCUCUUAUCUCAGUACUUGCCCCAGAGGCAAAUGCUGGGUUGUCUUUGUGCCUCAUGGCAUCUGUAAAAGUGUCCUGCAUGUUCAGUCAUGCUGAGGGUUGCCCAGACUCACAAGUGAAAGUUUUGACCGUGCUUCAAUAGAAAGAGAACAUUCUCAUCCUACGGAGAUUCUAGAAUUCAUUUAAAAGGUGAGUUCAGAAAGGUGCUAUUGAGUGCAAAAGGUGAGCCUUCCUUACUGCGAUUUUACGAGAUCCUUUUGAAAAUUAAAUGUGAUCCAGUGUUUCAAAGAACGUGCCACAUAGCAGGAUUGGAAAAUUUUGCAGAAUUGUGAGGCAAACUGGCCUCCUUAGAAACUCCAAGAGGAGGGUUGUUUUCAUAACAAACUUUGAUAAUUGCUCUUUAUCUCUUUGUUGAGCACCUACUAAGUUACAGUUUAUGGGAAAGGCUGCAAGCGCUCCUGGACACCAUGUCUCACUCUUCUUCCUGGCCUGACAGGGAGACUGCAUCCUCACUUAGGGAGAGUCAUGUGACUACUGCUGCCACUGAAAUAGGACCAGAAACAGUAUUUGUCACCUCCAGGCCAAGGUAUUUGAGAGCCAGUGUGUCUCAUCCAUGCUUUCUGUUUCGUUCAGCAGCCAACCUUGAGACCCUUGUUGAGAAGUGGAAUCAUGGGAGCAGCCUGGACACCUGCCAACUCAUGUCAGAGUUUAUGUGUAUGAGAAACAAACUGUUGUUGUUGCUAUGAUUUUUAAUUUUAUUAAAAAAAUUAAUGUUUAUUUUUGAGAGAGAGAGAGACAGCAUGAGCAGGAGAAGAGAGGGGCA